CCGAGUUUACACUCCCAAACCCCUGUGAACCUUACCUUUACUGUUGCCUCGGCCGUGCCCGCCGGAGGACCCAAACCCUUCUGUAUUUUUCUUACGCAUGUCUGAGUGGAUUUAAUAUCAAAUGAAUCA
rnacentral:misc_RNA from 1 species